rnacentral:rRNA from 1 species
AUUGAACGCUGGCGGCAGGCUUAACACAUGCAAGUCGAACGAGUGGCGGACGGGUGAGUAAUGUCUGGGAAACUGCCCGCUGGAGGGGGAUAACUACUGGAAACGGUAGCUAAUACCGCAUACCAUCAGAUGUGCCCAGAUGGGAUUAGCUGGUUGGUGGGGUAACGGCUCACCAAGGCGACGAUCCCUAGCUGGUCUGAGAGGAUGACCAGCCACACUGGAACUGAGACACGGUCCAGACUCCUACGGGAGGCAGCAGUGGGGAAUAUUGCACAAUGGGGGAAACCCUGAUGCAGCCAUGCCGCGUGUAUGAUGAAGGCCUUCGGGUUGUAAAGUACUUUCAGCAGGGAGGCGUUACCCGCAGAAGAAGCACCGGCUAACUACGUGCCAGCAGCCGCGGUAAUUC